CCUACGGGAGGCAGCAGUGAGGAAUAUUGGUCAAUGGGCGCGAGCCUGAACCAGCCAAGUCGCGUGAGGGAGGACGGCCCUACGGGUUGUAAACCUCUUUUGCCGGGGAGCAACGGGCGCCACGUGUGGCGUCACUGAGAGUACCCGGAGAAAAAGCAUCGGCUAACUCCGUGCCAGCAGCCGCGGUAAUACGGAGGAUGCGAGCGUUAUCCGGAUUUAUUGGGUUUAAAGGGUGCGUAGGCGGUGCGUUAAGUCAGGGGUCAAAUUGAGGGGCUCAACCCCGUCCAGACGUUGAACCUGGCGGUGUUGAGUUGGAGAGAAGUAUGCGGAAUGCGUGGUGGAGCGGUGAAAUGCAUAGAUAUCGCGCAGAACGCCGAGUGCGAAGGCAGCGUACCGGCGUCAGACUGACGCUGAGGCACGAAAGCGUGGGGAUCGAACAGGAUUAGAUACCCGAGUAGUC
rnacentral:rRNA from 1 species